ACCAGUUACACAUUAAACACCAGGUGUAACCGAACCAGUUAACACAGGGUAAAACACAGGUGUAACCGAACCAGUUACACAGGGUAAAACACCAGGUGUAACCGAACCAGUUACACAGGGUAAAACACCAGGUGUAACCGAACCAGUUACACAGGGUAAAACACCAGGUGUAACCGAACCAGUUAACACAGGGUAAAACACCAAGUGUAACCGAACACCAGAUAGCCUACCGUGCAUAUAGGUACAUUCAGAUUUCUAGGUUUAGAACAUGUUCAUGUAUUAGAGAAAGCCAGUAAGGACAUAUCCCAACAUUAAUGUCCCCAAUAAUUUUUUUUAUGAGAAAUCCAAACUGAAUUAUUUUUAGCCUCACCAUACCAGUCAAAACAGGGCCUGAUGGUAUCUUUCUCAAAAUGUGACAUUUAGAAUAAAGAAAUGGUUAUUGAACAAAGGGUUUUGAGGUGACUAUUUUGCUAAAAAUAUAUAAUUAACUUUAAAUGACGCCAACUGAUUGCAAUAAGCAUAAAGUAGUAUAACGUAUACAUAAUACAACCAAACACUAACAGCAGAGCAAAUCUUAGGGAGAGAAGUUUAGACUUUUACAAACAGUGGUUGGUUCAAGUUUUCCUAAAUGAAAACAAAAAAAGGGGCCAUUAUACCUCAUUUUAAAUUACAGUAGA
rnacentral:lncRNA from 1 species